rnacentral:rRNA from 1 species
UACGUAGGUGGCAAGCGUUUGUCCGGAAUUAUUGGGCGUAAAGCGCGCGCAGGCGGUCCUUUAAGUCUGAUGUGAAAGCCCACGGCUCAACCGUGGAGGGUCAUUGGAAACUGGGGGGACUUGAGUACAGAAGAGAAGAGUGGAAUUCCACGUGUAGCGGUGAAAUGCGUAGAGAUGUGGAGGAACACCAGUGGCGAAGGCGACUCUUUGGUCUGUAACUGACGCUGAGGCGCGAAAGCGUGGGGAGCAACAGG